AGCCUGCGGUUUAAUCGGACUCAACGCCGGGAAAACUCACCAGAUAAGACAGCUGAAUGAUAGUCGGGCUGAAGACUCUACUUGACUAGCUGAGAGGAGGUGCAUGGCCGUCGUCAGUUCGUACUGUGAAGCAUCCUGUUAAGUCAGGCAACGAGCGAGACCCACGCCAACAGUUGCCAGCUCGUCCUCCGGGAUGGUGGGGACACUGUUGGGACCGCCUCUGCUAAAGAGGAGGAAGGAAUGGGCAACGGUAGGUCAGCAUGCCCCGAAUUAUCUGGGCUACACGCGGGCUACAAUGGGUGGGACAAUGGGUAUCGACACCGAAAGGUGAAGGCAAUCUCCUAAACCCAUCCGUAGUUCGGAUUGUGGGCUGCAACUCGCCCACAUGAAGCUGGAAUCUGUAGUAAUCGUGUCUCAAAAUGGCACGGUGAAUAUGUCCCUGCUCCUU
rnacentral:rRNA from 1 species